UACGUAGGGUGCAAGCGUUGUCCGGAAUUACUGGGCGUAAAGGGCGCGUAGGCGGCGACCCAAGUCAGAUGUGAAAGUCCUGGGCUUAACCUGGGGACUGCAUUUGAUACUGGGUUGCUUGAAUUCGGGAGAGGAUAGCGGAAUUCCCAGUGUAGAGGUGAAAUUCGUAGAUAUUGGGAAGAACACCGGUGGCGAAGGCGGCUAUCUGGACCGACAUUGACGCUGAGGCGCGAAAGCGUGGGGAGCAAACAGG
rnacentral:rRNA from 1 species